rnacentral:rRNA from 1 species
CUACGGGCCGCACCAGUGAGGAAUAUUGCACAAUGGAGGAAACUCUGAUGCAGCAACGCCGCGUGGAGGAUGACGCAUUUCGGUGUGUAAACUCCUUUUAUAUGUCAAGAAAAUGACGGUAGCAUAUGAAUAAGCACUGGCUAACUCCGUGCCAGCAGCCGCGGUAAUACGGAGGGUGCAAGCGUUACUCGGAAUCACUGGGCGUAAAGGACGCGUAGGCGGGAUAUCAAGUCAGGUGUGAAAUCCUACAGCUUAACUGUAGAACUGCACUUGAAACUGGUAACCUAGAGUAUGGGAGGGGGAGAUGGAAUUAGUGGUGUAGGGGUAAAAUCCGUAGAUAUCACUAGGAAUACCUAAAGCGAAGGCGAUCUCCUGGAACAUAACUGACGCUAAGGCGUGAAAGCGUGGGGAGCAAACAGGAUUAGAUACCCGAGUAGUC